CACCCUGGUCACAAGGGUUUGGAUUGGGAUUAGUUUUGGUGUUGUUUUUGGGCAAAGCUCAUUGUCAUAACACAUCAAAGUGGUCCCUGAAACAGACCCCUAAAAGCAACCCUCGUUUGGGGAAAAGGAGGAAACCAGAGACAGGACACUGACCCAGAAGCCUCUGAAUUCAUGCAGGUAACAACAGUGCUGAUGGAGCUGUUGCCCUGACACUCUUCCUGCACAACAUUUAGUGUAAUUUCUUUCAUCUUUAAUAUAAUAAUGUCAUUAAGAGUCAAAACGUUGGGGCAGUAGAGGGUGGGAAGGAGCAAACAGUGUGAGGACUGGUGCUGUCAUUUCAGCUCCUGGGACAGCUCUACCCUUUUUGUGGACUUGUAAACUGCCAGGCAGGGAUUGCCUGAUCCCACAUACAGGAUCACAGCUGAAGUCACUUCUGCAUUACACACCCACCAGCUUUUUAUUUCUAAAAAAGGAUCUUUCCAGACUACUUUCAGAUAAGUGGCAAUUUUCCUUCUGUUGGUGACAGGGCAGUCUGGGCCACAAGCACCCUUUUCCCCUAUUAGCUGCUGUCUUCUCCUUCUCCCAUUUGCUUUUUGAAUGAGAUCAACUACUCUGUGUCAGCUCCUCUUCCUCUCCCAAAGUCAGUACUUUUCCAUGACAGUUAUUUUUCAGGUGAGGCUGGAGCUGUUUCCUCAGCCCACUUCAAGACCUGAUGGUUUGAAGUGAAGGGGGAGACUCACAUAAAAAUUUAACAGCUUAAAAAUUGCCUUGUAAAGGAACUCACAGGAGGUAUAAAGAGGUGGUGAGGAGGAGAUGCAGGUGUCCUACAAACAGAAACCAGUAACAGAGUUCCUGUCCUGGGGAUGUACAGCACUGGUUUGUGAUCACUCCUUGCUUUCCCCAGUCCCCACAGGACUCCACCUUCCUCCAGGAUGGCAAGAUCCCACCAGCACCUCGUCCUGCUGGGCACUUCCCUUUGGCUCCUCUCUGACCACUUAGUGAUUUCCACAAGCUCACAGAACAUAAAAUGAUCUUUGGGACUCCCAACUAUCACAUUUUGUUACAAUUGUCCACUGUGUUAAAAUUUUACACAGGUGAGAUGGACAGGCAGCCAGGUUUCCUAAACCUCCUGUGGCCUAGAGCACAGUAAGCAGGGAUGUUAGAUUAUGGGCACUGUAAGCUAAAAAUAGGAGAAAAUUAAUAAAAGAUUUAGUCUAACUUAAGGUCACUGUGGAGUUGAGUUAGGCUUGAAGCCAGAAGCCCAAAAUGUGCAGUUUUAACAGCAGAAUAGAGUUGAAACUGGGUCAGCUGAACACAAUACUGAUCUAAAAAGCCCAGGGAUCAACAUCUCCCUUAACAAAACCCAACCAACCAACCAAAAAAAAAAACCCAAACCAACCAAUAAAACCCCAGAA